rnacentral:lncRNA from 1 species
UCCCGAGAAGCUGGCACAAGCGCGCUCAAGCCCGCGGCGCUCCUGACGGCCGGUGCUCCGGAAAAGAGGCCAGACUGCAGGCCGCGGCUCGCGGCUCCCGGCUCCCGGCUCCCGGCGCCCGGCGCCCCGCCAGGCGGAGCCCACCGCGGGCAGCAAGGCGACCGCGCGGGGGGGCGGGGCCACGCCUUCCGGGCCACGCCUUCCGGGGCCGGCCCCGCCCCCGGAGCGUGCGCGCGCCCGCCGCCGCCUCGCGCGUGCGCCGCCGGCUGGGGGCGGAGGUUGUGGGCGGCGGCGGCGGGCGCGCGCGCUCUCGCCCCCUCGCGCCGGUUCGCGCUCCCGCGCCGGGCUGAGGCGGCGGCGGCGGCGGCGGCGGCGGCGGCGGCGCGGGGGGAGGGCCGGGAGGGGGGGUGGUUGGGGGGGAUGGACCGGGCGCGGCGGCCGCAGCGGCAGGAGCCGGCGCUUGAGCUCGAGCCACGGCGCUGGCGGAGACGCCGGCUGCUCCUCCCCUCCCCGCCGGAAGGGAAGACGAGGCUCGGCGAGUUGCACCUUCUCUAAAGGACCAGACAUCCGUUUAUAGCUUUGCAAACCCCCGCUUUUUUUUUUUUUUUUUUCCUUCCUUCCUUCUCCAUCCUGAGCAAAGGUGUGUGUAAGUGUGGGUUUGGCUCAUCCCUUGACAACGUUGAUGGUGAAUCUGCAGCAGAGUUUCUUGAAGCAGCCCACUUGAGCUGUUGGCCGAUUUCCCCUUUUUCUUGGGUGACACCCUCCGUGUGUAUCUUGGUAGAUUCUAGUCAAAGCUUUUACCGGCUGCCUUUGCAUCCUCACUGUCACAGAGGAAGAGAAGAUGAAAACACACACUAAUCCAAAAUGGUUGCUCCAAGUCUUUAAAUACACAGAAGCAUCUGUAGAAAAGGUCUGAAUUCCUAAAUUAGUCCAUUCUUAAAAAAAAAAAAAAAAAAAAAAUUCAGGGGUUAAAAAGUAGGUAGCUGCUUUAGGAUAAAACUUUGCUAUGUUUAUGUCUUCUGACCCAGUAUGUUAAAUUUUGGGAGUGAUCUGUUCAACCACAUCCUUGUCUUUGAAGUACCUGUGUAUAGAAAUUGUUCCAAAGCCUGGAGGAAGGAACCUUAUGAAGAUGUUCAUGUGUUAAUGACAGGAUACUUCCAGGGACUAGAUUUUUUUUCUUUUUCUUUUUCUUCUCCAUUUGUAGAUUAGAACAGUGAGACUGGAAUUGUGAGUAGGUGGUAGUUUUACUAGUGUCCUGUAACAAACCAUGCUUCUAGGUGGGACUUUUAACUAUAUCUUAUCCUCUACCAACAGAGUUGGCUUGUAUUUUUUUUUUUUUUUUUUUUGAAAUCACACACCCACUCUCUGGCUAGUAAAAAAAGAUUAAAAAGCUGCUUCUGGUCUGUGGGCGGUAACCUUUUAAUUUCUAAAGAGUUUUCAGUUGCUUACAGAAUAGUUUGCUAAUCAGUAUAAGGGAAAAUUUAGAUAUUAAAAUUUCAUUAGAUCUGUUAUGAUUAUGAACAUUAAGAUUUGUCAUGAUGUGGAUGCUGUGUACCAUGUAUAGGAAAUGAGAUUUCUCAGGGUAUUUGCAUCUUAAGAUAAACAAAAGUGCAGUCAGCUGGCAGACAGAAUGUUCUUAAGCCUUCCAGUGGUUGAAAACACCUUUUAUGAGCACAAAAACACUUUUACGGUUUGAUGAAGAAACCUGGACUAGUUGGUGACCACCAUUUCUUUAAGCUGUUUGCUCCUUCUCCCUACUAGAAUAUUUCCCCUUUUUCUGCAAGAGUUGUUAUGCCUGUAGUAUAUGUACAAAACCUAUAAUGGCUGAAAACUUAAGUUUAAAUUCCUCAGAACGAUAUUUAUUUUUAUUUAUUUAUUUGUUUAUUUUUAAGAUUUUAUUUAUUCAUUCGUGAGAGACACACAGAGAGAGGCAGAGACACAGACGGAGAAGCAGGCUGCAUGCAAGGAGCCCAGUGUGGGACUCAAUCCUGGGACCCUGGGAGCACGACCUGAGCCAAAGGCAGAUGCUCAACUGCUUAGCCACCCAGGCAUCCCUCAGAAUGAUAUUUAUUGAUCACUCAUUUAUUUAUUCAUCAAAUAUUUAUUUUAAAAAAUAUUUUAUUUAUUCAUUCAUGAGAGACACACAGGCAGAGAUGUAGAAGGAGAAGCAGGCUUCCUGUGGGGAGCCUGAUGUGGGACUCGAUCCUAGGAUCCUGGACCAUGACCUGAGCCAAAGACAGACCUCAACCAACUGAGCCACCCUAGCACCCCUCAAAUAUUUAUUGAGUCCUUAUUUUGUUCCAGGAGUUUUUCUCAGUACUGGACUAUGGUGGGGGACAAAAUAGAUAAGGUCCUUGUAUUGAGCUUUUUUUCUCUGUGAGAAUAAGGAUAGCAGUUAAACAUAUAAGAUAAUUUCAGGUAAUGCUGUAAGUCAGCAGUUAGCAAACUUUUUCUGUAAAAAAUCAGAAAGUAAAUAUUUUAGGCUUUAUGGGCCAUACAGUUUCUGUUGCAGCUGCUCUGUUUUAGUGUAAGGUAGCCACAGGCAGUACAUAAACAAGUGUUUCUAUGUUCUAGUUAAACUUUUGCAUUUCCUAUCAUUUUCCCACGUCACAAAAUAUUGUUUUUCUUAAUUCUUUUUUUGGCUAUACUAAAACAUGGGAGAAGCUGGAUUUGGCCUGUAGGCUGUAAUCUAGCCCUUUAGAGAAAAAGUUUGAUGGGAUGCUUGGGUGGGUCAGUGGUUGAGCCUUUGGCUUCAGGGCACAAUCCCCGGGCCCUGAGAUCAAAUCCCGCAUCGGGCUCCCUGCAGGGAGCCUGCUUCUCCCUCUGCCAAUGUCUCUAUGUCUCUCAUGAAUCAAUCAAUAAAAUCUUUUUUUUUUUUUUUAAAGAUUUUAUUGAUUGAUUCACGAGAGACACAGAUUGAGAGAGAGAGAGAGAGAGCGCACGCCUGACGUGGCACUCGAUCCCAGGUCUCCAGGAUCAGGCCCUAGGCUGAAAGCGGUGCUAAACCGCUGAGCCACCUGGGCUGCCCCAGAUAAAUAAAAUCUUAAAAAAAGUUUGCUGAUUCCUGAUAUCUGCUAUGAAGAAAAUAAGACAAGAUGAUGUGAUAAGUGAGUGGUGGGGAUGGUAGAGAGGCCUCACUAGGGAGAAGAUAUUUGAGUUGUGUCCUAAAAGAUGGAAAAACUUUGCUGGCAAAUGAAACAGCAGGUACAAAAAUCUGCAGGUGGAAAUGGGCUACUCCUAUGUUCCCCAGCAUUGAACUUCACGUACCAUGUCAUUCUUGGCUUUGUGUCUCUUUUCAUUUUGUUCUUAACUAGGUUGCCUUCUUCCUGUCAGGUUUUAAAAGUCUACCCAGGGCAGCCCCGGUGACGCAGCGGUUUGGUGCCGCCUGCAGCCCAGGGUGUGAUCCUGGAGACCCGGGAUCGAGUCCCACGUCGGGCUCCCUGCGUGGAGCCUGCUUCUCCCUCUGCCUGUGUCUCUGCCUCUCUGUGUGUGUGUGUGUCUCUCAUGAAUAAAUAAAUGAAAUCUUAAAAAAAAAAAAAAAAGUCUACCCAUAAUUCAUCUAAGACUUGGAAGGGAUCUUAGCUUUCUACCCAAUUGCUCUCUUCUAAAAUGUUCUCAGUGAUUUUUCAGCUUCUGUUUGAAAGCUUUGAUGACAGUAAAUUCAUUACUUUGAGGUGGCCUAUACCAAUUUUAGAUAGCUCUAAUUGUUAGAGUAUUCUUCUUCAAAUUCUAAUAGGAUUCACACUUUCUCCCUUUUCCCCCUGAUGCUGCUUUACAGUGACCAUGGAGUAAACUGCAGUGGGGUUGCACCUCAUUUCCAGGAUUCAGUUCUAAAGUCAGCACUUGAAACAAAAAUCCCAUAAAAUGAAAACUAUUCUUGAAAAAUCCCUUAAAUUGCGGGGCACCUGGGUGGCUUGGCCGGUUAAGCAUCUGACUUUUCAACUCAGCUCAGGUCUUGAUCUCAAGGUGAGUUUAAGCCUGGCUGGUGUUGGCUGGUGUUGUUUGUUUGUUUUUAAAAGAUUUAUUUACUUAUUCAUGA